rnacentral:rRNA from 1 species
UACGUAGGGGGCGAGCGUUGUCCGGAGUUACUGGGCGUAAAGCGCACGCAGGCGGUCUGUGAAGUUUGGAGUGACAGUUGGUGGCUCAACCACCAAAGUGCUUUGAAAACUGACAGACUUGAGGGCUUCAGAGGGACACGGAAUUCCGGGUGGAGUGGUGAAAUGCGUAGAGAUCCGGAGGAACACCAAAGGCGAAGGCAGUGUCCUGGGGAGUACCUGACGCUCAGGUGCGAAAGCCAGGGGAGCGAACGGGG